UGGGGAAUUUUGGACAAUGGGGGCAACCCUGAUCCAGCAAUGCCGCGUGUGUGAAGAAGGCCUUCGGGUUGUAAAGCACUUUUGUCCGGAAAGAAAACUUCGGGGCUAAUACCCCUGGAGGAUGACGGUACCGGAAGAAUAAGCAGCGGCUAACUACGUGCCAGCAGCCGCGGUAAUACGUAGGGUGCGAGCGUUAAUCGGAAUUACUGGGCGUAAAGCGUGCGCAGGCGGUGCUGUAAGACCGAUGUGAAAUCCCCGGGCUUAACCUGGGAACUGCAUUGGUGACUGCAGCGCUGGAGUAUGGCAGAGGGGGGUGGAAUUCCACGUGUAGCAGUGAAAUGCGUAGAGAUGUGGAGGAACACCGAUGGCGAAGGCAGCCCCCUGGGCCAAUACUGACGCUCAUGCACGAAAGCGUGGGGAGCAAACAGG
rnacentral:rRNA from 1 species